UACUCAUCUAAUAACUUUUCCUCCAAAGUUGAUAAUGGGAUAGAUUAAAGUUCUGCAGAGGGCUGGAGGAAGACUAGGGUUUAGAUGUAUGGACAAGGAGCUUUGGCCGAAGAAGGGAAGAGGGUCACGGUGUCUCACUGAAGCAUGGAAUUGGGUCGGGACAAAAUCGGACCUCGAUGCUGCAGCCGCUGGGGAACAGAGAAGGAGGUGACGGUGGUGAAGGCAGUGAUGCACGAGCCAGACCUCGAAGUUGUCGGGGAACAGAGAAGGAGGUGACAGUGGUGAAGCCAGUGAUGCACGAGCCGGACCUCGAAGCUGCCGGGAAGAGAGGCAGAGACGGAGGUGAAGUCGAUGAUGCACGAGCUUGGAACUUUAAUUGGCCAACCUUAUGAAUAAGCGGGGAAGGGGACGAAAAUUCAUUAGGAUCGAAGAGUUAGGGCUUUCAUGAAUUAGCCCAGCAAAAAACAUGGCUCGAGCGGGAAAAUGAAAACGUGGUUCGGGAUCCGACAUUUUUUCUCUGGGUCAGACGAGCCCAGAGCAAAACAGGUACACUAGCUGGGACAGAAUGCAACAAGCCGAGCACAAAGUACGUGAUGAAGAAUAAAUGCCAUCACA